rnacentral:rRNA from 1 species
GACGAACGCUGGCGGCGUGCUUAACACAUGCAAGUCGAACGGAAAGGCCUCUUUCGGGGGGUACUCGAGUGGCGAACGGGUGAGUAACACGUGAGUAACCUGCCCUUGCCUUUGGGAUAACUUCAGGAAACUGGGGCUAAUACCGGAUAGGAGCUCCUGCUGCAUGGUGGGGGUUGGAAAGUUUCGGCGGUUGGGGAUGGACUCGCGGCUUAUCAGCUUGUUGGUGGGGUAGUGGCUUACCAAGGCUUUGACGGGUAGCCGGCCUGAGAGGGUGACCGGCCACAUUGGGACUGAGAUACGGCCCAGACUCCGACGGGAGGAAGCAGUGGGGAAUAUUGCACAAUGGGUGGAAGCCUGAUGCAGCAACGCCGUGUGCGGGAGGACGGACUUCGGGUUGUAAACCGCCUUCGCUCAUGACGAAGCUUUGUGUGACGGUAGUGGGUAAAGAAGCACCGGCUAACUACGUG